UGGGUCGGGUUAUUUAGCCAACCAAAAUGGCAGUACAGGCUCCGACCGAGGACUGAGGAAGCUUAGGAUGACUAAUAAGAAUGGUUGCGGCGAGUGUUUUGUUGUGGAAGUAUUAGAAGAAUGUGUAAGAAACAUACGGUGCUCAUGAUGCAACUUCCUGGAUGGUGUGUAAAUUGUUUAUCAGCAUGUGAAAUCCACAUGAUUGAAGGAGAAGUCUUCCUUGUUAAAGAUCAGCAAUGGCAGAUAAACAAUUCAUGAUGCAAUCUGCUCACUAAAAAGAUUACACCAAUACAUCCCAUGACAUGUAUUUCUACCUGUCACCUAUGUAACCUUUGUCAUGCUCU